rnacentral:rRNA from 1 species
GGGUCAGUGGGUUGGUCGUGCCACCGGUACGUACUGGUCUCACUGGUUCCUCCUUCCUGAAGAACCGUAAUGCCAUUAAUUUGGUGUUGCGGGGAAACAGGACUGUUACUUUGAAAAAAUUAGAGUGUUUAAAGCAAGCUAACGCUUGAAUACAUUAGCAUGGAAUAAUGAAAUAGGACGAUCGAUCCUAUUUUGUUGGUUUCUAGGAUUGACGUA